rnacentral:rRNA from 1 species
AGGAUGAACGCUGGCGGCGUGCUUAACACAUGCAAGUCGAACGAUGAACCGGAGCUUGCUCCGGGGAUUAGUGGCGAACGGGUGAGUAACACGUGAGUAACCUGCCCUUGACUCUGGGAUAAGCACUGGAAACGGUGUCUAAUACCGGAUACGACCUUCAGCCGCAUGGCUAGGGGGUGAAAGAAUUUGGUCAAGGAUGGACUCGCGGCCUAUCAGGUAGUUGGUGAGGUAAUGGCUCACCAAGCCGACGACGGGUA